AAAACACACACACACAGUAAUUAAAAAUGGUGGUCAGGCUGGGUGUGGUGGCUCAUGCCUGUAAUCCCAGCACUUUGGGAGGCUGAGGCAGGCAGAUCACGAGGUCAAGAGCUCGAGAUCAUCCUGGCCAACAUGGUGAAACCCCAUCUCUACUAAAAUACAAAAAAAAAAAUUAGCUGGGCGUGGUGGCGGGCACCUGUAGUCCCAGCUACUCAGGAGGCUGAGGCAGGAGAAUUGCUUGAACGCGGGAGGCAGAGGUUGCAGUGAACCAAGAUCACACCACUGCACUCCCGCCUGGCAACAGAGUGAGGCUCCAUCUCAAAAAAAAGGUGGUCAAUGAGAUGAAGAAAAAGAUAAAAAAGCAAGGGGGUGGAAUAGGGACUGAUGAAGGCGUGCAUUUUCUACCAGUAUACACCAGACUGCAUUUCAGGAGGUUACACAAUAAGGUUUUAUCCACAAGAUGAAGUGAAACCCAGGGACUUUAAAAUGUCCACAUUUAUUUUAACACAUAGGUCAUUUAGGGGAAAGGAAUUGAGUUUCAAGAAAUUGAAACUUACGGGAUUGCUUAAAACCUUGUUGAUGGAAAUAGAGCUAGAAAAACUCCAUUGACCUGUCAAAUCAAUGAUGGCCAUUCAGUGGGUUUCAUCUCAAUAGUUUCUGGGGAGCAUUUUGUUAAACAUCCUGAGGAGCGGUGCCCCCAGUGGUCUGGAAAUUCUUUGAUUCUGAAUUUUCAAUCAAUUAACCUCCUUAAAAUCAUUUCCCCAGGAAGAUAUUUUUUAAAAAGUAGAGAGAUGAUGUGAUGUUUAAAACUGAGUGUCAACUUGAUUGGAUUGAGGGAUACAAAGUAUUGAUCCUGGGUGUGUCUGUGUGGGUGUUGCCAGAGGAGGUUAACAUUGGAGUCAGGGGGCUGGGAAAGGCAGCCCUUAAUCUGGUGGCAUAAUCUAAUCAGUUUCCAGAGAAUAUAAAGCAGG
rnacentral:lncRNA from 10 species